rnacentral:rRNA from 1 species
CUGCGAUAAGCGCCGGUAAGGUGAUAUGAACCGUUAUAACCGGCGAUACCCGAAUGGGGAAACCCAGUGUGAUUCGUCACACUAUCAUUAACUGAAUCCAUAGGUUAAUGAGGCGAACCGGGGGAACUGAAACAUCUAAGUACCCCGAGGAAAAGAAAUCAACCGAGAUUCCCCCAGUAGCGGCGAGCGAACGGGGAGGAGCCCAGAGCCUGAAUCAGCAUGUGUGUUAGUGGAAGCGUCUGGAAAGGCGCGCGAUACAGGGUGACAGCCCCGUACACAAAAGCGCAUGUGCUGUGAGCUCGAUGAGUAGGGCGGGACACGUGGUAUCCUGUCUGAAUAUGGGGGGACCAUCCUCCAAGGCUAAAUACUCCUGACUGACCGAUAGUGAACCAGUACCGUGAGGGAAAGGCGAAAAGAACCCCGGCGAGGGGAGUGAAAAAGAACCUGAAACCGUGUACGUACAAGCAGUGGGAGCACCCUUUGGGUGUGACUGCGUACCUUUUGUAUAAUGGGUCAGCGACUUAUAUUCUGUAGCAAGGUUAACCGAAUAGGGGAGCCGGAGGGAAACCGAGUCUUAAUUGGGCGUUAAGUUGCAGGGUAUAGACCCGAAACCCGGUGAUCUAGCCAUGGGCAGGUUGAAGGUUGGGUAACACUAACUGGAGGACCGAACCGACUAAUGUUGAAAAAUUAGCGGAUGACCUGUGGCUGGGGGUGAAAGGCCAAUCAAACCGGGAGAUAGCUGGUUCUCCCCGAAAGCUAUUUAGGUAGCGCCUCGUGAAUUCAUCUCCGGGGGUAGAGCACUGUUUCGGCUAGGGGGCCAUCCCGGCUUACCAACCCGAUGCAAACUGCGAAUACCGGAGAAUGUUAUCACGGGAGACACACGGCGGGUGCUAACGUCCGUCGUGAAGAGGGAAACAACCCAGACCGCCAGCUAAGGUCCCAAAGUCAUGGUUAAGUGGGAAACGAUGUGGGAAGGCCCAGACAGCCAGGAUGUUGGCUUAGAAGCAGCCAUCAUUUAAAGAAAGCGUAAUAGCUCACUGGUCGAGUCGGCCUGCGCGGAAGAUGUAACGGGGCUAAACCAUGCACCGAAGCUGCGGCAGCGACACUGUGUGUUGUUGGGUA